CCCGUGUCUCUAUACAUUGUUGCUUUGGCGGGCCGCCUCGGCCACCGGCCCCGGCUGGUGAGCGCCCGCCAGAGGACCCCAGACCCUGAAUGUUAGUGUCGUCUGAGUACUAUCUAAUAGUUAAAACUUUCAACAACGGAUCUCUUGGCUCUGGCAUCGAUGAAGAACGCAGCGAAAUGCGAUAAGUAAUGUGAAUUGCAGAAUUCAGUGAAUCAUCGAAUCUUUGAACGCACAUUGCGCCCUCUGGUAUUCCGGAGGGCAUGCCUGUUCGAGCGUCAUUACAACCUUCAAGCUCUGCUUGGUCUUGGGCGUCCCCGGCGUUGCCGGCGUGCCCUAAAAUCAGUGGCGGUGCCAUGAGGCUCUAAGCGUAGUAACUCACCUCGCUCUGGACGCCCCGUGGUCGCUGGCCAGCAACCCCCCCAUAUCACAGG
rnacentral:misc_RNA from 1 species